rnacentral:rRNA from 1 species
GACGAACGCUGGCGGCGUGCUUAACACAUGCAAGUCGAACGGAAAGGCCCUUCUUUUGUUGGGUGCUCGAGUGGCGAACGGGUGAGUAACACGUGAGUAACUUGCCCUUGACUCUGGGAUAACUUCAGGACAUGGGGGCUAGUACAGUAUAGGAGCUCCUGCUGCACUGUGGGGGUUGGAUAGUUUCGGCGGUUGGGGAUGGACUGGCGGCGUAUCAGUCGGAUGAUGGGGUAGUGGCUUACCAGGGCUUUGACGGGUAGCUGCCCUGCGGGGGUGCCGGGCCACAUGGGAACCGAGAUACGGCCCAGACUCUGACGGGUUGCAGCAGUGGGGAAAGUGGCACAAGGAGCGGAAGCGUGAGGAAGCAACGCCGCGUGCGGGAUGACGGCUUUCGGGUGGUAAGCCGCUUUCGCCUGUGUCGAAGCGGGUGGGAGGUAAAUGGGGAAAAAGGCACGGCCAAACUCGUG